GAGAAGAGUUAUCGGCCCUGGUUGUGAAACCUACGCAUGCGCAAAACGGACCCGCCGGUUUCUACGGCAGGCCCUAGCACCGCAGUUUCAAGGAGCGUGAUCAGAAUCAAAAUUAUGGUUUGAUGUGGGUUUAAGAUCCAUAUGGUGCCACUUGUUUAUGUGUCAUACCCAGCCCAAGGAAAUGGAAACAACAGAUUCUGAAUUUGUGAUUGAAUUCCUCCCCAUGAAAGUUCACAUGCAUCAGAAUGUGUUUUUUUGGUCUUUUGUUCUUGUGUGGGGAUUUUAUCUCACUUUGGAAUGAAAUCCUUUCAGACACUAAACAAUUUUGAACAGGUAAGGAACACAUAUUUUUAAACAGUUUUUGGUAUAGUAGAGUAAUUCACAAGGACUGCAGGGACUUAAUAUCUAACAGGUAUACAUCUAGUAGUUCUUUUGUUUUGGAGGAGAGAACUGGUAUGUAUGACUAUUUACUAUAUUAAGGCUUAAAGGAAAGUUUACGUGCCUUUUAUUUAGUUGUUUUACAUUAAAACUAUGGAGAAGCGUGCCUCUGUUUUGGGGCACUUUGUUGUGGAAAUCCAGCAGAGCAUUUCAGCAAGCAGUGACAGUCACAAAAUUAGAGAUCUAAAGUCUACUGGAUCCAGAACAUAAAAAUCUGGAUGACUUAUAAGCGGUAGAAAAAAGUUGCAGAAACACAUGCAACUCAGAUGUACAGUAGUAGACUUAAUAUGCAAUUUCAGUAUACUGUUUCCCAUAUGUUAUAUAUAAAUAUAUUCAUGUUUAGUACUGUAUUGUGGUAGUUCAAUAAAAUCUACUUCAAGGUACAAUAAGUGAGUAUAAGAUUUCAGCCUUAAGCAUAUCUCUCACUAUCAGAAGUCCAUGAAUAUUCCAUAAAUCAACAGAUGAAGUCACAGAGAAUCAACAACCAACAUCUUUACUCCUUUCUUUAUUUGGAACUUGCUUUCCAUCAUUGAGGAAUCAUACUUUCUAGAUUCUAGAAGAGGGCUCCCUGUCACGUUUUUUGCCCUGGUAGUAGCACAAUAAAAUAGGAUAUUUGUUGAGCUUGUUAGUGAGCUGAGGUCCAAAAUUCUGAACAUUGAUUUUAAAGAAGAAUCUACAUAAACAGAAAUAUGAUGGUUACACUGAAAUGUAUAAAUAGGUUGUAAGUAGGUUGAAUGAAAUCAGAUAUACUUUUAUCUUCUUUUCUCCCAACUACCCAUUUUUCCUAUUGAAGUGAAUUGGA